rnacentral:rRNA from 1 species
AUUGAACGCUGGCGGCAGGCCUAACACAUGCAAGUCGAGCGGAGCGGCGGACGGGUGAGUAAUGACUAGGAAUCAGCCUGGUAGUGGGGGAUAACGUCCGGAAACGGGCGCUAAUACAGCAUACGUGCAAAUGGGUCUCGGUCGGAUUAGCUAGUUGGUGGGGUAAAGGCCUACCAAGGCGACGAUCCAUAACUGGUCUGAGGGGAUGAUGAGUCACACUGGAACUGAGACACGGCCCAGACUCCUACGGGAGGCAGCAGUGGGGAAUAUUGGGCAAUGGGCGAAAGCCUGAUCCAGCCAUGCCGCGUGUGUGAAGAAGGUCUUCGGAUUGUAAAGCACUUUAAGUUGGGAGGCGUUACCAACAGAAUAAGCACCGGCUAACUUCGUGCCAGCAGCCGCGGUAAUAC